rnacentral:rRNA from 1 species
GACGAACGCUGGAGGCGUGCUUAACACAUGCAAGUCGAACGAUGAAAUGGAGCUUGCUCCAUGGAUUAGUGGCGAACGGGUGAGUAACACGUGAAUAACCUGCCCUUAAUUUUGGAAUAACCCAGGGAAACCUGGGCUAAUACCGGAUAAGUAAACCUGUGGCAUCACAUGGUUUUGGAAAGUUUUUCGAUUAAGGAUGGAUUCGCGGCCUAUCAGCUUGUUGGUGAGGUAAUGGCUCACCAAGGCGACGACGGGUAGCCGGCCUGAGAGGGUGAACGGCCACAGUGGGACUGAGACACGGCCCAGACUCCUACGGGGGGCAGCAGUGGGGGAUAUUGCGCAAUGGACGAAAGUCUGACGCAGCGACGCCUCGUGAGGGACGAAGGUCUUCGGAUUGUAAACCUCUUUCAGCAGGGACGAAGCGAAAGUGACGGUACCUGCAGAAGAAGCACCGGCUAACUAUGUGCCAGCCGCCGCCGUAA